rnacentral:lncRNA from 1 species
GGAAAAAAAACAAAUGCUAUGAGAGUGCACUGACACUGCUCCUCUGUACUUGCAUUAAAGCAACAUAUACAAUUCCUUAAACAUAAAUUCCCAGUAGAUUUACAGAUAGUUUCGGUUUUGGGGUGCUUAGUUCGUUGACAGUUGAUGAACAUAACUGAAAACAAUCUUCAAAUGAUUAUUUAGACGAAAAAGCGGAGAAACAGAUGGGCAAAGAGAUGUCACUUCUAUUACAGCCACGAUGCCUAGUGAUCUUCUUUGUGGCUUUAGUUCUCGUCUUUAUUGCUUCCUCUCUCUGGCUAAAGGUACUCUUACAUUUUCUUUUAUUGCAGCCCAUUUCGAGAAUAGUCUCUAUUUAUAGAUCUCAUUGGGGGUCUCCGAAUAUUCUACGAACUGAAAUGUUUCUCCAAUUAUUCCUUCUGCCGGGACCUAUUGUUUUAGGUACUGCCUACACUGGCACCUGUGUUUGGUGUUAAAUGUGUAAGGUUAUUUAACAUAGGGGUUCAUCGGAACUACUCCUGUUUCAAAUUACUUUCCUUUUUAGUUUGUUCCAGAAUAAAUGACACGCUCUAAAUUUGGAAAUAAUUCAAUUUUAAACUCUUCAUUUUAUUAAUUUUAUCCUUAACGAGAAGCUUUUAUAACCACACAAAUCUUAUGGCCCCACAAAACUUUUACCCCACAAGUUUCAAAAGUUUUUCUUUUUUCUUAAAUUCCGUGUCAAGUCAAACUAGAGUAGUAAUUUAAGGACUUUGUAUACUCCCUCCGUUCCAAUUUAUGUGAACAUGUUUGACUGCACGAAAUUUAAGAAAAAAUGAUGAUUUUUGAAAUUUGUGGUCCUAAACAAGUCAAAAAAGGGACCCAGAGUAUUUGUGUGGUUAUAAAAGCUUAUUAUUAAGGAUAUUGUUAUAAGUUUAAGCAAAAUUGUUUCCAAAUUUAGAAAAUGGUCAUUUUUUUUUGAACGGACCAAAAAGGAAAUAUGUUCAUAUAAACUGAAACGGAGGGAGUAUGUGCUAAAAAGUUUAACUAAAUAAGUACAAAUAAUUGAUUUCGAAUCAAGCAUGUCAAAUGAGUCGUGGUAGAAUUUUAAACAGGAACCCAUAAAGUUCAAAUCAUGAGUCCGCUUAGGGCUCGGGUGUGAGGGAGGAAAUGAGGCCGAAUAGAGCGAAUAUGGAGGAUACGUAUAUUGUGAAUCCAAACUAGUUUGGGAUUGAGACGUUGAUUGAUUGAUUGGUUUUUGGAUAGAUAAGUGACCCAAUUCCCUAUUUCAAGCUUAGGCUAUCACUUUCCUGCUGAACAUUUGAAAUUGAUUCAAGGGACCUAAUAGAUGAAGCACUACGCAAGUUUGUUAGAUAAAAUGCCUUUUAUUCUUUGGUCUUUCUCUUAAUGCAUUGAAGCACAGAAAAUUUCUAGUCUUUUUUGUUUCUCCACUUGUAACAACUCAUCCAUCUUGUUCUCCAAAGAACAGUUUCAAAGUCGUACGAUCAUUGUCUUUGAGGACCAAGAUGGGCUUCUAAAGUGACUUUACAACUAGUAAGGUGGUUAGGAGUAGGGGUGUCAAAUGAGCGUGUUGGAGCGAUUUUGGGCUGGUCAUGCGGGUCAAAUGACCCGCCCAAAAGUUAUUUGGGUUGAGAUAGACUGGAUCAAGAUGGGCUAAAAUUUGGGUCAUAGCCCAACCCGUCCAACUCUUACCAAACUUUAAUUAAUAUAUGUUAUUUUCUUAUGAAUUGUAUAAUUACUAAAAAAAAAAAUUUUCUUUUGUUAUUGUCAUAUAUAACAUAUCAAACAAAAAAGAACUAUUUCUAAGAUAUUUUGGCAAAGGUACUCAUGGAUCAAUUUGGGCUAAAAAUUAGCCCAAUUUUAAAUGGGUUAAGAUGAGUUUGGUCAAGAUAAACUGAGUUCAAUAAAUGAGUGAGUUAAUAACCAGUCCAACUUUGGGCGGGUUGAGCGGAUUAUUUGGGCUUGGGCCAAAUUUGACCGCCCUAGUUAGAAGGAGUACUAUAAAAAAAAAUUGGGUGAAAUUCAAAAAUAGCCAAAUUUACAAGUGGUCAUUCAAAAAUAGCCACACUUUCAAAAGUAAUCGAAAUUUAUCCACUUUUCAUGUAAAGAUAAAUCUUAACGAAAAUGCUGUUCAAAAUCCGGAAAAUAUUCCAGUAUAUUAUACUGGAGUUCCAGCAUAAGUAUACUGGAACUCCAGCAUAAUAUAAUGGAGUUCCAGCAUAAGUAUACUGGAACUCCAGCAUAAUAUACUGGAGUUUCAGCAAAGUAUACCGGUCCAGUAUAAUAUGCUGGAAAUUCAUACACAGGUGCUCGAAUCUCCAGUAUAUUAUGCUGGAACUUUUCACGUGUUGGAGUUCCAGCUAAUAUGCCGAAAGUUCAUACAUAGGUGCACCGAACUCCAGUAUAUUAUGCUGGAUCGGUCUCUGUUGCACCAAAAUAGUGGCUAUUUUUCAAUAACUUGACAAACGCUAGCUAUUUUUGAAUGACCGUCCGAAAACUGGCUAGCCCAUGCUACUUUUACAGAACAAUUGGUACUCAUUUGGACGAGCAUUUGAGUUGAAGUUGAGAAAAGAGUAUUUGAAGUUAAAGUUAAAAACAAAAUUAGUUGAAGUUGUGAGCUUCACUUGUUAAAAGAAAUUUUUCGAAGUUGAAGAUUGUGAGUGGAAACCAAUAUAUCACUUGAAAUACACCCACACAUCAGGAUUUCAACAAUUCACUUCUAGAGUUCUAGUUCAAAUACUGAAGUUCAGUAUUUGCAGAUACUCUUGCCCGAACUAGUAAUACUGAACUUCAGCAUUUGUAAAUACUGAAAUACUGAUCUAUGCUCAAACAUGCCCUAGUCAUGUUACAAUUAACAAUGCUUGGAAACCUGCUGCCUCCUUCUCCUAAAUGAUUGGUGGGUAAUCAGCACAUCGUCUUUCUUUAUGAAGCAAGUUGGUUUUGGAUCUGAAAUAGUAGCAACAACGGGACAAUGAAUUUGUUUCAAGCUAACUGAAAGAGGAUGGGAUUUAUUUGGGACUUCAUUGGAUGAGCCUUAAAUUGAAACAACAUUGAGUUUUAGGCUAGUUAGAGUCUUGAUAGGCAAUGCAAGCUUGUUGGGCUAUGUAAAGGUGUUUUAUGUUACUGAAAAGCAAAGGGGAUUCAGAUGUAGUUAUUUAUCAAAAAAGUUAUAAAUAUUCUGGAUGUAGUUGAUGUCGGCUCUGAGAACUGAAAAGAAAAUGAGGAGCAGGAGGAGGAAUAAAAGAGAUUCUUUGGACAAACAAAUGCUGAGGCUUAGAAUGUAUUUGCAGAUUGAGAAGUCCUAUAACUUGGUAGUAUGCUAAAAAGAUGAUAGGCUGAAUAUAAACCUCAAUUAAAAGGAGUGAAGUUUGGUCCUGCAUCAUAUGCUCUAUGACUGGAUUUUUGCUAUUUAAUUUCAUUUUGUAACAUUCAAUAUCAAACAAAAAAUAAUUCAUUUUGUAACAUUGUUUUCCUCUCUGUUGAAUCGGUUUAGAUUUUCAGGAUUUAGAAUGGUUGUGGAGGAUUGUAUUAGUGACUCAAAGUUAAAGAGGUUUAUGAAACUUAUGAGAGAUAGCUAGUAUUCUCACACAUGUACCGGAAUUUAAAAGUUUUUAAUAUCUAAUGAAUGAGAAGCUGAUGCUAUAUAACCUCAUCUUAUAUAUGAGUUUCAAACCCAUACCAGGAGUUAAAAUUCUGGUGGUCAAGAUUGGACUUUUGUUUCAUGACUCAUGAGUCUCAUUUAAAAGUUUUUCAAUUUUUCUCAUGUUAAAUUUCUAAGAGAAUGCUUUUUUUUAAACUAGUGAUGUAUGUUUUUUGCUCUAGUGGUUCACUAAGCAUUGACCUUAAUUUCCUCUUUAAUUUCUCAGGGAGAACAACGUAUAGGUAUGGAUGUUUGUGCUUGAUGUUUUACUUUAUUAGUUUUCAUUGGCUUAAUGAAUCUUAGAUGUACAAUGCACCACAUUGAGUUGUCUGUUUUAUUUUUUCCUUUUGGGGAUUAGCAAUUAUUAGGCAUCUUUCCUAGUAUAUGCCUUAUUCAUGCUUGAAUCAUUUCUUGGUUUACGGGAAAAGGAAAAUGGUUUUGUUUGCAGAAAUCGUCGGAUAUGUCACCAUUUUAAUGGCAUACAUCAGCAUGGCUAGUGUUGAUUUAGUAGGCUCGUUAUAAGAUUGGUGUCCUUCCUGGCUUGGCUAUCUAGAUUAUAUGAUGAGCAGGAAAGCUGGUUGAUAUAUCUUUUACUGCCGGAGGAAUUUUUCAUUAAAGAUAAUUUUGUUUCAACUCUAAAUUACAUGGUAUCUCAUAUUUGGAUGAUAAACUUGCAAGAUUCAAGAAAGAAAGAUGGAUAAUUAACUGUUUCUUUGAGAAUACCAUCAUCCCAAAACUUUUCGCAGUCUCUGAAUAUUGGUGAAGUAAGGUUUGUGAGAGCAACGGUUAAGUUGUCUCCAUGUGACCUAUAGGUCACGGGUUCGAGCCAUGGAAUCAGCCACUGAUGCUUGCAUUAGGGUAGUCUGCCUACAUUAUACCCUCUUGGUACGGUUCUUCCCCGGACCCUGCGUGAACGUGGGAUACUUUGUGCACCGGACUGCCCCUUUUAAGGUUUGUCAGAGCAAUGGUGUACUUUUGUUGUUUGUAGUCUGGUAGAGAAUCACGAAGGACAUGAGAUAUUUUUUAACAUAAACUCUCGAACUAAUAGGCCUUUUAUGUGUAGUUGCUUCUACCCCAGCUUCGUGUAUCCUCUGCAAAAGUUGAAUCAUUGGAAGGGUGCUUCAUAAUUACCUAAAGAGGCAUUGUAAGAAUUAAGAAAUCGAAGCUAUAAAAUCUUUCUCAGUGCUGGUUAGUUGAUAAAAAAUGAUAAGUUUCUGAUCCAUGAGAUAGUGUGAUUUUGUUGUUGGCGGAACAUGAAAGUGCUGAUGGUGUUGGAGAUCCUUCUGAUGGUGUGAAGAGUCCUUCUGGCUGGAGCUAUAGAAGUGUUGAGAUGAUGUAUAUCUAUCGAAUGAUUGCACCCCAAUAGGUUAGGGAGGGAGGGAUUAUGUGCCAACACUCCCCUUUACGGUCACCAUAGCACAAGAAAAGUAAAAGUUCUCUCACUAAACCAUUCUUAUGCUAAAUUUUUUGGUCAACACCUAUUUUAUUUGGAUCAUUCAGAAUCGCCCACCGCACUUGUGUCUAACUGAUAUAACUUAGGUGUAGUGGCAUACGCACCACAUUUAGUAAAUUCAUGUUGGGUAUGUUGGCUACAACUAUAAUACAGGAAGCAUAGAUUGACUGAGCUUUCGGUUCCGAUUAUAAGGUUUAUAUAGUAUGUAUAUGUGUGUGGGUAUGCUUUGCGCGUCUGUGUAUAUGUGUGUGUGUAUACACAUACAUUUAUAUGCACAUAUACAUAAAGUAUUAGAAAGUUUACCUAUUGGAUGAGAUAUACGUAUGGACUAAAGUAUCAGAUAGUGAAAAGAUUCUUUUAAAAAUAUUUGUUUUCUUUCAAUGACUUUUAAUUCCUUGGUGUUUUAUACGCUUUAGUGUCUUUUGUGUUGGGAUUUUGCAUUUGGUUGUGUUGAAUUGUUAAUGAUAGUGAAUUGAUAUUGGGAACGGGUUGUGCGCCGCAACAGAAUGAAACUAAAUUGAUAAAGGAAACGGGUUGUAUGCCGCAAAAGAUAUUGAUAUGCUAUUGGGAUCGGGUUGCACGUCGCUACAGAUAUUGACAUGAUAUUAGGACCGGGUUACGCGCCGCAACGGGGUAUGAUGUAUUGUGACUGUUUGUAGCUGUGGUGUUCAAAUAUUGUACUGUGAUAUGAGGAUUAUGAGAUGAUGUUAUUCUGAGGCCUUCUGUUAGUUGAACUUUGGGUCUCGUUCUAUGAGUUUAUCCGUUUUCUCUAUAUUUCUAUUGUCUUUUAUUUACUAUUCGUACAGGUUUACAAUGAGUGUCUUAUCAUAACCACGUCACUGCUUCGUCGAGGUUAGGCUCGGCACUUGCUGAGUACAUGGGGUCAGUUGUAAUCAUAUUUUACUUCUGCACUUCUUGUGCAGAUCCCGGUGUUGGUCCUAGCAGCGAAUAGAGAAGACUGCUCGUAUCAUAUCUAUUCAGAAAACUUGAGGUAGAGCUGCACGGUGUUCGCAGUCCAUGGAGUCUCCACCUUGUUUGUUUUACUGUUUAUCUUGUCUCAAACAGUUGUAUUUCAUUUCAGAUCAUGUUUGUAGUAUUCUAGUUGCUCAUGUACUUAUGACUCCGGAUUUCUGGGAUUUAUGGAGAUCGCGUUACUUAUGGAUUUAUAUAUAUAUCAGAGCAUUUCAUUCGUU